UGGCGGCAGGCCUAACACAUGCAAGUCGAGCGCUCGUGGCAGUACGAGAGCGGCAGACGGGAGAGUAACACGUGGGAACGCGCCCUUCGGUUCGGAAUAACUCAGGGAAACUUGAGCUAAUACCGGAUACGCCCUUACGGGGAAAGAUUCAUCGCCGAAGGAACGGCCCGCGUCGGAUUAGCUAGUUGGUGAGGUAAUGGCUCACCAAGGCGACGAUCCGUAGCUGGUCUGAGAGGAUGACCAGCCUCACUGGGACUGAGACACGGCCCAGACUCCUACGGGAGGCAGCAGUGGGGAAUAUUGGACAAUGGGCGCAAGCCUGAUCCAGCCAUGCCGCGUGGAUGAUGAAGGCCUUAGGGUUGUAAAGUCCUUUUAACGGGGAAGAUAAUGACGGUACCCGUAGAAUAAGCCCCGGCUAACUUCGUGCCAGCAGCCGCGGUAAUACGAAGGGGGCUAGCGUUGCUCGGAAUUACUGGGCGUAAAGCGCACGUAGGCGGCUCUUUAAGUCGGGGGUGAAAUCCUGGAGCUCAACUCCAGAACUGCCUUCGAUACUGGAGAGCUCGAGUCCGGGAGAGGUGAGUGGAACUGCGAGUGUAGAGGUGAAAUUCGUAGAUAUUCGCAAGAACACCAGUGGCGAAGGCGACUCACUGGCCC
rnacentral:rRNA from 1 species